UUGGUAUAAGUGGCUAGAGCCCCUGUUAUUUGCAGUACAAGAGGUCCUGCAAGCCUCCAUGUGGUUGUCCCUGUUCAAAUUAUUAUACCACGCAUGAACGUCAAUCCCAGCUGUAUACCGGGGUACUCAGCUACGAGAGUUCGCACCAGGAGUUAAAGUGCUUAUUUUGUUACGCACAUCAAUCUCUAAAUUACUUGCCAAGUAGCAAGGACCCUUUGAGAUCACAUGGCGAGUUGGGGAUGUUGACUAUCAGGUAAGGCAAAUGGAUAGAGGCGGGGCAUGGCAGGAUUAUCACUUAACCUCCUCCAACCGUGGAGGAAGAUGGUUCCCAUGGCUUUGGUGAUGGUCAUCUCAGAGAGGGAGGAGCUAGGACCGGAGGUGAAUCUAAAAACGGCAGCUCAAUCCACCCCGGCCCCUUAUGAAGACCACCUCUCCACUUCCCAUGUCACGGACAUUUCUAAACUGCAUGUAGAAUUUUCCAAUGUGUUCUCGCCGCUCCCCGGUAGUACUAAUCUCAUAGAGCACCACAUAGAGACAACCCUAGGGGUGGUGGGACGCAGCCGCCCCUACCGGCUGCCUGAACACAAAAAAAAUGUGGUUGGGGAGGAACUUGAGGCUAUGCUUGACAUGGGGUAAUCAAAGAGUCCCACAGUGACUGGAGCAGCCUGGUGUUUUUGGUGCCCAAAACCAACAGGAUGGUCCAAUUUUGUGUGAACUUUAUGAAAGUCAAUGCAGUGUGCAAAUUCGACGCAUACUCAAUGCCUCGCAUUGAAAAACUGCUCGAUCGUCUAGGCGUGGCUUGCUUUUAUUCUACACUGGAUUUGAAAAAGAGAUAUUGGCAGAUCCCCUUGAAUACAAUAUCUUGCAAAAAAAUGGCCUUUUCCACUCCGUUUGGGUUACACCAAUUUGUGACACGUCCUUUUGGGUUGUUCUGGGCUCCAGCCACUUUCCAGCGACUCACGAACGGAAUCCACCGUUCACAUGCUGCUUAUGCUGCUGCCUAUUUAGAUGAUACUAUUAUUUACAGUAAUGAUUGGCAGCAGCACAUGCAGCAUCUGAAGGCUGUUCUGAGAUUGCUGAGAUGGGCGGGACUCACGUUGAACCCAAAGAAGUGUGCGAUUGGACAGGUGAUAUGAUCCAAAUUGAUAAGACAGUAGCAAUUAUGGCCUGCCCAAGACCCAAGACCAAAAAGGAGGUGAGACAGUUUCUGGUGCUGGCUGGCUAUUAUCAAAGGUUUGUGCCUAAUUAUUCGGACGUCACCAGCCCACUGACUGAUCUCACUAAAAAGGGAGCACCAGAUCUGGUCCAGUGGACGGAGCCGUGACAGCAGGCUGUCACUCAGGUAAAAGCUGCACUCUGUGACAAUCCACUCUUACAUUCUCCUGACUUCCCUCUCCUUUUUGUUUUACAGACAGAUGUGUGGCGGAGGGGAAUAUGCCACUGCCUUGUGGGGGAAAUAUUAAGCACUUAACUAAGGAAGACUGAGUGCUACAGAUGAGGUGAGGUGGGCCCUGGAGCAUGUGCAGAUAACCUAUAAGAGCUUAGAAGAUAAGAGCUUUUGACUGCAAAACCCAUCCUCCCCUAGAUCUAACAAGACAGGAAGAAUAAAAGAAUGAAAUCAAAUAUAGACAACAAUAAAGAAAAUAUCAACAAUUUGUGACUGUUUCUAUUGAACCUUGAACAACAAUCAGUGUGCCUCUUUUACCACACUGGUAAGUUUCACAUUCACAGUCAGUUUGAUUUAAUCAGUUCACUUCAGUUCAGCUCAAAAUUUGAAAAGUUCACUUCAAAAAUCCAGGAAAAUAAUACUCGGUCCGUUCAUGUGCCAGAAUGUCCAUAGACUUGCAAAAGAAAGUAUAUGAAUCACUCUGCAGAGAAAUUCACAGGUCACAGUUCCACGCAUGAGUGUUGUUCUUUUAAAAGCACCGUUCAGUCUUUAUACUCAUUGAAAAGAAAAGAUUACUUGCUUACCAGCGUUCAGUGGAAAAUGAAGAAAAUAAUGUAUAUCACCACAUCACUACAUCAUGGGCAGAGCGCUGAAAGGUGUCCGUAUAGGCAGGGUAGUGUUCCUUCACUCUAUGAUCCCCAACGAUUGCCCCCGUGAUCCUGAAGACUACCACUCGAUCCUACGAGGCCGCAAUCCUGUCUAACGGAGAUCAGCCCGAUAACACGAACAAUAUACUGUCCCAUCCAACAAAUCAGCCAACUCUCCUCGCAAAAAUAAGCAACGGCAUCCACCACGUUUUGAGUUCGUUUGAACUAACAAAAACAAAAAUCUGGAUGCAAAACACACACAAAAAAAACACAGGAGUAUUCAACCCCAACGCUAAAUAACUUAAUAAACUCUAACAGCCUAUCGCCCAGCUUCACACACGAGCACGAUGGAAAACUUGUUACGCCACUAUUAAUAUCUGGCUUGUUAAGACAAACAGAAACUUAGAAGCAACGUCAUGCGGCUCUAAUGCAUGUCAUCAGUCUAAACGUAACUUUUUAAUGUAAUAAAAAGUUCGAAAAUUGUCACAUCCUUCAUCAGCUCGCCGCUGCUCCUCUCGCUCUUUUUCUCUCCCGCCUGUGCGAUCGUCACACACCUGAGAAAGAAAAUGGCAGCGCCCGUGUCAAAUUUCAAAAUAAAAGCUUUUGCGAAAUAGAACUUGUAGAUCCCCUACAGACGCAUCAGACUGGGGGUUGGGGCUGUGUUGUCCCAGGUAGUGCAGGGGGAGGAGCGCCCUAUGCUGUACAUCAGCCGCAAGCCCCCCGUGUGAGAGACUAAGUACAGCAUGAUAGAAGCAUGAUAGGCGGUGGGGUAUGUGGAAGUGGGGGCGUGCUAAGGCACUGGUUUUUGAAUGGAGGGCGGAGCCAGAGAAGGUGAGUGGUGAGGAAUGCACACCUGUGUGAAAUUCUAUUAAUGAGUGUUUUGUGUUUCAUUGAGUGGAGGCAAGGAUAAAAAGGUGAGAGAUGAGUACCUCGAGAGAGAGAGCAACCCGCACAGAGCCGUGUGUGUGCAUGUGUUUGUGUGUGUAUUGGGGAAAAUAAAACCACUGAAAAGUGAACGAAAAGACACUGAAAAGACACAGAAUAAAGUGCCUCUUGAGUUGUUCCCAAGCCUGCCCCCCACUUCCUCAUUUCUGCCCAAACUUCAGAGAGUGUCUCACAAACACACACAUUAUGGAUAUAAUAUAUUAGACCUCCUAAUACUUAACAACUUUGUCUCAAGAACCACUGGUCAAAUCAUUAAAUAUUUGUGACUAUUUAAAAAACUAUUCCUACAUUUUUCACUCAACCUCAACCUCAGGGAAAGUAUAUUUCCCUGGACUGUAUUUUCUGGAUUCCCUGUGUCAAUAAUUAUGAAAAAAAUGUUGAAAUUUAGUCUUUGUAUGGUUAUAACAGGGUCAUUUAUAAAUAUGGGCAUGAAGAACCGUACCCAAAAGCCUAUAAUUCCUAAACAAAACCUCAAAACUUCAUGAAAUUAGGUAAGAACAUGCAUCUUAUGAUUCUAAAGACGCAUGCAAAAUUGUAGAGAUACUUGUUUUUAUCUCCAAUUUAAGUGCUUACAGGC